rnacentral:rRNA from 1 species
UGGGGAAUAUUGGACAAUGGGCGCAAGCCUGAUCCAGCCAUGCCGCGUGAGUGAUGAAGGCCCUAGGGUUGUAAAGCUCUUUCACCGGUGAAGAUAAUGACGGUAACCGGAGAAGAAGCCCCGGCUAACUUCGUGCCAGCAGCCGCGGUAAUACGAAGGGGGCUAGCGUUGUUCGGAUUUACUGGGCGUAAAGCGCACGUAGGCGGACUUUUAAGUCAGGGGUGAAAUCCCGGGGCUCAACCCCGGAACUGCCUUUGAUACUGGAAGUCUUGAGUAUGGUAGAGGUGAGUGGAAUUCCGAGUGUAGAGGUGAAAUUCGUAGAUAUUCGGAGGAACACCAGUGGCGAAGGCGGCUCACUGGACCAUUACAGACGCUGAGGUGCGAAAGCGUGGGGAGCAAACAGG